ncrna:unclassified sequences L2-Alphaproteobacteria ribosomal protein leader
GGGGACCUUCGGGGCCCUAUAAUUCGGGUCUAGCACGCCAGACCCUCUAGCUGACGGAAGACAGAAA